rnacentral:rRNA from 1 species
UUUCUCACGAUCCCUUCGGGGUGACGAGUUAUUGACUGAGUGGCGGACGGGUGAGUAACGCGUGGGAAACCUGCCCUUGACAGGGGGACAGCCGAGGGAAACUUCGAUUAAUACCCCAUAACGCAGAGAGACCGCAUGGUCAUUCUGCCAAAGAAUUAUCGGUCAGGGAUGGUCCCGCGUCUGAUUAGCUGGUUGGUGAGGCAGCGGCUCACCAAGGCGACGAUCAGUAGCCGGCCUGAGAGGGUGAACGGCCACAUUGGAACUGAGACACGGUCCAGACUCCUACGGGAGGCAGCAGUGGGGAAUAUUGCACAAUGGGCGCAAGCCUGAUGCAGCAACGCCGCGUGAAGGAGGAAGGCCUUCGGGUCGUAAACUUCUGUCCAAAGGGAAGAAGAAUGACGGUACCUUUGGAGGAAGCCCCGGCUAACUACGUGCCAGCAGCCGCGGUAACACGUAGGGGGCGAGCGUUAUCCGGAAUUACUGGGCGUAAAGAGUGCGUAGGUGGCUUUGCAAGCGUAGGGUAUAAGGCGACAGCCCAACUGUCGUUGGCCCCGCGAACUGUAAGGCUUGAGUACAGGAGGGGAAGGCGGAAUUCCUAGUGUAGCGGUGAAAUGCGUAGAUAUUAGGAGGAACACCAGUGGCGAAGGCGGCUUACUGGACGAUUACUGACGCUGAGGCUCGAAAGCGUGGGGAGCAAACAGGAUUAGAUACCCUGGUAGUCCACGCCGUAAACGAUGGACAUUAGGUGUGGGGG